rnacentral:lncRNA from 1 species
CGCCGCUCGCACGCCCGCGCCCGCGCUCGUGCGCGCGCCGCUCGCCGCCGUGCACCGCCAGCCCUUUCCUCCGCCCAGACGUUCUUCCCCCGAGCGGACCCAGCUCUGUUCGCCUCUGCCCAGCCUCCGUCCGGCCACCUCCGGCCACCGCCCAGCCUCGCCGGACCUUCCCGGCGUCCCCCUUGCUCUCCGCCGGCCUCCCCUCGCCGUUUUGGCCGCCGGAUCUGCUCCGACCAGCCAAGGGCAGAGACCCACGAAAUGGGUUUCCAGCACCUUUGAGCUCGCUUUUGGGCCGUUUCCCGGCUCCGAACCCGAGCCGUGCUUUGGGAACAAUCGUUCCUCGCGUCGCCGCCGUCGGAUUGAUCCGAUUUGCGCGCGAUUUGGUGAGUAAUCUCACUAAUCCUGGAUUAGUUGGCUAAUUAUGCUUAAGGUUGGUUUAGUUUUAAUUAAUUAUGUUUAGGUUGUUAGAUUUAAAUAAAUUAGCAAUUAUUAGUCAAUUGUGAUGUGAUUUAGAUAAAUUGAUUGUGCAAUUAGCAAGUAGACGUGGUCUACUAUUUAUUGGAAGUGUCUCGGGAAUUUUCCGAUCCCUAAUCGGGCUUCAAUUUGGCGAUUCGGGCCUAAGUGGGAUUUUUGGCAUUUAAAUAUUAUUUUUCGGAAUUAAAUUAAUUAAUUAUUUAUUUUCCGAAAAUUCAACUGAGAUGGUUCGGAACCGGAAAAUUAUGCUGAUGAUCGUGAUGCAGUCCGUUUAUUUAAUUGAGCUUUAUAUUGUGCUAAAUUGAAUUUAUUGUAUUUAUUUAUUUAAUUUUCGAAAUUAAUUAUUUAAUUAUUUAUUUUCCGGAAAUUCAACUAGGAUGGCCAGUGACCGGAAUUUCGUGCUGAUUGCAAUGGUGUGGUUAAUUUCUGCAAUUGAAUGUUAAAUUAUGCAAAUUGAGUAUUGAUUUGACUUUUGGUAUUUAAUUCCAAAAAUUGUGAAUUUCCAAUAUUUAUUCAGAGAAUCCCAGGUGUCGGGUUUUGACACCGAAAAUGGUUUUUAGUACUGUAUGAAAUAGUGGGAUUUCAAAAAGGAUGAAUAUCAAUUUUUUUGGAUCAAGUUGGCCAUGUACCCACACACGAGUAAUUUCAUGUGAAUUUCUAAUACGAAGAAAAAGGCCAGGCUCACCAUUUUAAUUGAAGCAUUUGAGUGCAAUGCACGGUGCCCUGGGCCAUAUUUGAGUGAUCGUGUGAUAGUUAUGAGAAAUCGUCCCGGGCUGUUGAGCUGGACGUUAUCCCUAUGUGGGAUACCCCUUGGACAACGGGAAGCCGGUCGCAGUUGAUUCUGGACCCUAUGCUCCUUCGGGAAUGCCGUCGACGUAGUGACGAAGCCGUGCUCCAAGGGGGGAGACGAUGCUCCUUCGGGAAUGCCGUCGACGUAAUGACGAAGCCGCGCUCCAUGGGGGGAGGCGAUGCCUGGCAAUGCCAGAAGACCGCCGAACUGAGAGUAGGUCGUGCUAUAUGCCGAGAUCAAAUCUAAGAAUGCAUGAUUAAUUGAGUGUGAGAAU